AGAUUGAACGCUGGCGGCAGGCCUAACACAUGCAAGUCGAGCGGCAGCACGGGUACUUGUACCUGGUGGCGAGCGGCGGACGGGUGAGUAAUGCCUAGGAAUCUGCCUGAUAGUGGGGGAUAACGCUCGGAAACGGACGCUAAUACCGCAUACGUCCUACGGGAGAAAGCAGGGGACCUUCGGGCCUUGCGCUAUCAGAUGAGCCUAGGUCGGAUUAGCUAGUUGGUGGGUAAUGGCUCACCAAGGCGACGAUCCGUAACUGGUCUGAGAGGAUGAUCAGUCACACUGGAACUGAGACACGGUCCAGACUCCUACGGGAGGCAGCAGUGGGGAAUAUUGGACAAGGGCGAAAGCCUGAUCCAGCCAUGCCGCGUGUGUGAAGAAGGUCUCGGAUUGUAAAGCACUUUAAGUUGGAGGAAGGCAGUUACCUAAUACGUAUCUGUUUUGACGUUACCGACAGUAAUAAGCACCGGCUAACUCUGUCGCCAGCUACGG
rnacentral:rRNA from 1 species